UGGCUCAGGACGAACGCUGGCGGCGUGCUUAACACAUGCAAGUCGAACGGAAAGGCCCUUCGGGGUACUCGAGUGGCGAACGGGUGAGUAACACGUGGGUGAUCUGCCCUGCACUUUGGGAUAAGCCUGGGAAACUGGGUCUAAUACCGAAUACACCUCGCUGGCCGCAUGGUCUGGUGGGGGAAAGCUUUUGCGGUGUGGGAUGGGCCCGCGGCCUAUCAGCUUGUUGGUGGGGUGAUGGCCUACCAAGGCGACGACGGGUAGCCGGCCUGAGAGGGUGACCGGCCACACUGGGACUGAGAUACGGCCCAGACUCCUACGGGAGGCAGCAGUGGGGAAUAUUGCACAAUGGGCGCAAGCCUGAUGCAGCGACGCCGCGUGGGGGAUGACGGCCUUCGGGUUGUAAACCCCUUUCAGCACAGACG
rnacentral:rRNA from 1 species